GUAAGUGCCAAAACAAUUCCUACGGAGCUCUUAAGUUCUCCCUACACCCCUGUCGUCGAAUUUCCCCGAAAUCCUGACGCAUCCAAGGAGGGAGGCUUUUUGUGGCAUCCUAAACAGAGGGAUAUUGAAGGGAGCUGAUGCGGCUUUGAUCCUUAGGCUUGUUGUCAAAGCGCUUGGAAAUGAAGAGAGUGUUGGCUACAAUUGACUGUGACAAUUAGGAGAUGGUCAGAGCUCUAGAGUGGAACACUUAAAGGGUUUGCAUUUAAAGCACUCUGAGAGCACUAAUUGUAUAACAUUUUACAAACUGCACAUUCUCUUUCUGGAGAGGUAAUGAAUGAGUGGAAAAGGCUGGAAUUUAUUUGACAUUCUAGGCAGGAGCUUUUUCUGAGUACUUCUUGCUCUGUGUGAAAUUGGGAUGGAAGGGCAUUUUACCUUGUCACCAGAGGUGGUAUUCAGCAGGUUCUGACCAGUUUGGAGAACUGGUAGCAGACAUUCUGAGUAGUUCAGAGAAUUGGCAAAUACCACCUCUUACUGGCCCCACUCCCAUCUAUUCUCUGCCUCCCAAGUGGCAGCUGAUUGGCUGGGUCUUCUUUUGUUGCCCUGCACAGGAGAACGGAGCUGGAAAGCAGAAGCCUUUUUAUCUACCAUUUGGAAGGAAACAGCCCAAAGAACUUUCCGGUUGACAACCAGCUAUUGGUUCAUAGAAUAAUAAGGCUAAAUAUCACUCAAUGAUUGGCUAUUUAUUUAUCCAAUUUCUACAAGGUCCAUCCCAAAAAGCCAGAAGUGAAAUGUCUUCAAGGAAAAGCAAAAAAGGUCUACUUGCCAAUUUAACAAAACACCUUUGGGACAACCAUGACCUGGAUGACCGAGAAUCUCCAUAGAUGACUGAAUGUUAGGUUAUCACUGGAGAAGAGAGUGAAGAAAAAGAAAAAAGAAAAGCAAUAUUUAUAGAAGCGUCUUUGCAACGGUGACAUAGUUAACUCUGUUUCUGUUGUCCCAUACACAUCCCAUUUUAAUCAAGAAAUCCAGUGGGAUAAGGAAUUCUUCCUAAUAUUUUAAAUGCCCAUUAAAUGAUGGCAUAUCUUUUAGCCAGCAAAAAAUUCAUCAAGGAAGUAGACAAAUAAAAAAAAACCAAACAGAUUAAUUUUUACAAGGCAAAGUUUAAGACAUGUAUUGUAUGCCCUUUCUCCUACAGAACAUACCUUAAACUUUAAGAUUUUAAAACAGUGCUUGAGUUUUGCUGCGUUCACACCAGCUGAAAUUAUCCUCCUUUUUGCUGCUAAUUAUUAAUAUGUUCAGUACUGUAAGUGAAAAUAAAAAUAUGUUCCUAAUUAAAG
rnacentral:lncRNA from 1 species